rnacentral:rRNA from 1 species
UACAGAGGUCUCAAGCGUUGUUCGGAUUCAUUGGGCGUAAAGGGUGCGUAGGUGGCUUUGCAAGUCUGAUGUGAAAUCUCCGGGCUUAACCCGGAAAUGGCAUUAGAAACUGUGAGGCUUGAGGCUUGGAGGGGGAACUGGAAUUCUCGGUGUAGCAGUGAAAUGCGUAGAGAUCGAGAGGAACACCAGUGGCGAAGGCGAGUUCCUGGACAAGUCCUGACACUGAGGCACGAAAGCCGGGGGAGCAAACAGG